rnacentral:rRNA from 1 species
UACGGGGGGUGCAAACGUUGCUCGGAAUUAUUGGGCGUAAAGCGCACGUAGGCGGUCCUGUAAGUCGGGUGUGAAAGCCUCAGGCUUAACCUGGGAAGUGCACUCGAAACUGUAGGGCUUGAGUAUGGAAGAGGGUCUCGGAAUUCCCGGUGUAGAGGUGAAAUUCGUAGAUAUCGGGAGGAACACCAGUGGCGAAGGCGGAGACCUGGGCCAAUACUGACGCUGAGGUGCGAAAGCGUGGGGAGCAAACAGG